GCAGCUACAAAGACGACGCCGGCUGCGCUCGGGGGACCAGAGGGAGGGAGGCUGCGGACGAGUGCGGGGAGGAGUUUGCGAUGGGAGGCGCUUGCAGGGGCUCCCCCAGUUCUGCGCCGUGAGCCCGGGCACAAAGAGCCCUCUGCACUCGCGCCGCAGGACCGCGGAGCCGAGCGAGCUUACUUUACGCCAGCCUCUGCUUUGCCCGCAUUACCACAACAGUCCACGAGCAGCAGCUCAGGGGCUCCCUUGUUUGAGGAAGAGUUGAAAUUCGAAUUUCGGAGCUCCUCUUUUGUGUAUGCCCUGCUUGCAUCUGUCCAGAAGCCCGGCUUUCUGCUGCUCCACAGACGCCUCUGUUUCCCUCGGCGCGUCUCCUGCGCAUCUCGUUAUUCCUGGGAGGUUCCUGCUGUUUUGUCGCUGGGGGCACCUCCCUGCCCACCCACGUGGCUCCAGACAUGUCUACGUGCCUACCAUGACCCUGACCGCAUCAAAGGAGUAACCAAGGUGACCCUGGGAUAAUAGACACCGGCUUCAUGCUAUGAAGUCCAUCUGUGUGGAAAGCCCCAGAAUCUCAGAGCAUCCAGCAAGCUCCUGGGAGAGAGGGAAGAGAAGGGGAGGAGAGAGAAGGGGAUUUCUGGAUUCUUCCUGAACAUUCGUGACCACCCUGGGCAGCAGCCUGACAGAUAAGUAUUCCAACUUACCAGUGCCGCCCCCCCCCCACUGCCCCCCCCCCCCCGCCCUCUCUAGGUCUGUGCACGAAAGCAUAGAAUCUCUCACAAUCCUGUGGGAGGGAAAUUGGCGAGGCCACUUUUCAACCCCUCCGCGUCACAGACCAAGCCCUUGUCCCCAUUAUAUGGGGCCCCAGACAGGGGCGUUCCCACUCCGCUUUUUGGCACGGAAGCCAGCAUUUUGUCAGUUCCGCCGUGAGGACCUUCUGUAGGCUGGAGUUUGGCGACCUCCUCUUGAGUCCCCUUUGAUCUGGUGUCAGGAGUCAGAAGGAGACUGGGGACUCCAGGCGGCUCUUCUCAGUUCCGGCCCUUUGUCAUCAUAUUUGUGAGACUUGGCCAGGGCCCCCUUUACCUGGCAGUUGGGCGGGGAGGCCGACACUGUGAUGAUGGGCCACGUUCUCCUCUCCAGUUCUGGACCCGUGUCCCGAGUCUCAGGUGCCUGUAGAGAGCGCUGGGCGCACACUGAGCGGUCCCCUGACUCUCCUGGCACGGGUCUGCCAGCUGAUGAAAAUAGCUUAGCUGUCACCAGGAGCAAAACCCAGGACAUGAUUCUGGGUCAGGGUUAGCAGGCUGACGGGGACAGAUGGGGGCAGAAAAAUAACUGAGGGUGAGCUGUAGCCCCCCCCCCCCAUUUCCUGUCCACUGCCUCAAACUGUGGGUUAGUAUUGUGCACUCUGGGUGAACGCAGGGCUGGAAGGAUCCCAAGGCUCAGAGAGAGAGAGAGAGCGGGGCAGGCUUCCCAUGGCUACACAAGAUGGCAGAGCUGAAUCCGACCUCUGGAUCCCUGACUCUGGUCCCUGCCUCCACUCGGCUGUUGCCAAGCUGACCUUGCCUUACUUUGUCCUGGGUCCCCUUCUGCUGUUGCUGGGGAACAGGGAGGUGGGUGAAGGAGCCCCCCCCUUAUCCCGAGGACAUUCUGGGGUGGGAGCAAGGAAGGUGGAAGGGGGAUGUGCCUGGACCCAGCCUCCCUGGCUCUGGGGGCCUUCUCGUUAGCAGAGAGUUCUGGCCAGUUCGGGCGUGGGGAGGGGGCCUGGGUGCAGUUUCCUCCUGCAGCGUGGUGGGCUUUUUUGUCUUCCAGGAUGGGAUCUACACGGAGAAGGAGCGGGGAGCUGGGCCUGGGCUGCCAACAUGUUGUCUGGGUGCAGACAGGUGGCUCAGCCCAGCCCCAUCUCCAGGACUCCUGCCUGGUCUUCCCUUUGGAGCCCUGGUGACUCUGGACUCUGGCCACAGUGACGCAGGGAGCAGCCUUUGGUGGUUUUCUCGGACUCUGGACAAGUCCCCAAAGCCGUCAUCCUUCCACUGAGAUAAAGGCCCCUCCUGGCUGGCGCCCGGCUGAGGACAGGCCGUAGCUCCGGAGGACAGCCUGAGGGAGAGGUGUGAGGGAGCCUGGCUGCCCACUGCCCCUCUGUGUCCCACCUGGACCCCGCCUGUUGGGGCGCCUGUUGCCGUCUGGGCCUGGAGGCUGCUUCUCGACCCUGUGCCGACUCGAUUCCUCUCUGUGGCCCUGCUGGUGGCCAGCCGGAGCCCCGCCUGGGCCAGGGCCCCACUGACUGCACCCUUGCCACAGCUGGACGCUACAGGAUGGUGCAGGGACACAGGGAUGGGCGUCGGGGUGGAGCUGCAGGGAGGACAGACAGCUUUGUGGGCUCCGUCAGCUGGAGUCCGUCUUGCGUCCUUUGCCUUGAGUGGUUCUCAUUUUUGUGGGUGCUCUUUGGAUGAGGCUUUUCUGCGCUUCUCCUCUGCCUCACGGUCGCAGGGAGGAGGUGGGCAGGGUUGGGAGGAGCCCGAGCCUCCCCCCCAGUGUUGUUGAGGUCUUGGAGGGGGGCAGUUGGAGGGGCAGAAGGUGCCCGAUCCUGAAAGGGGAGGGUUUGCAAGAGAUGAGGAAGCCCAGGCCAGGAGGGAGACGACAAACUGAGCCUUAUUCCCACCGUCCAAAGGGCCCGGGCUGGAUCCAGCCUUGUCCCCAGGCUUGAGGGGUCGGGUCAGCCCGGCCUGAUGACAGACCCCCUGUUUGCUGUUG